rnacentral:lncRNA from 10 species
CUUCGUUACUGAAAUAUGAAUCUAAUCCCAUCUCUGAAUUUGAUCAACCAAAACUGUGCAAACUGAGAGCUUCCUAAAUUGGAUUUUAGUAGUGAAUUGAUUUGAGCCCUACUUUUUGUUUAGCACAUCAGCUGCUUAUGUCAGCCUGUACUGUAGUGGUGGGUUAGUGACCUCAGUGAUAUGUUGGAAGCUACAGACUUAACUGUCAAUAGGAUUGGCUUGGCCCUUUAUCCUUCAGCGGCAGAUAAAUAGAGCCCCAUUCAGUAGGUUCAUUGUGUAGGGAUUUGUUGGAGUUUUAUUUAUGCAGAUUUGGAAGCAGUUGGAGAUCAUCAACAUCCAAUACACCCUCUGUCAAAUAUUUCUCUUCCAUUGUUGGGUUAUUAAAAUAUGGGUUGGGAGGUUGGGGGAUUCUGUCCUUUUUAGAAGCAAAUACUUUUUUAAAAAUAAUCAAAAGAGCAUUUUUUUUAUUUUGUAUUUUUUGGUAUCUAGGGUAUCUCUGAGUAGUCGAUUUUUGAUCUCUACCCAUCCUCAAAACUGAAAACCAGUCCUCCAUUUCUCCAGGGCUUACCUUUUCAUCACUUGAAGACCAGUGGUUACGUGAUUUGGACCCACUGAGGAACGUAGAAUGAUAUCAGUUCAAAAGUAUUGGAUACCUGUGGAGCACUUUGCAAGAUAUUGCAGGAUUUUUGGGGCUUUCUAUAGAACUACACAGAAGUAUUGCUGAGUACUUUGCAAUAUGAAUUCCUGCAAUUUGCAGGAAUUUGCCACGCUUUUCAGGUGAUCAUGCUUGCACUUCCAGGAACUGUGGGGUUGACAGAAGGGAUAUGCAACAGGUUCUGCAUCCUUGAGGAUCUCACUGCAAGAACAGCACAGAAAGAGCAUGACCCAACUCAAGAGGAGUCUAGACAUCGAGUUGCACAAGACUGAGUGUGCACAAUGGGAUUGGAGAGAAGUAACGGCAUGGGCUGCCAUGAUCAGGGAAAGCUGCACAGAAGUGUUGGGUUUGGAGCUGGGGAGGUGAGAAGGUCAUGGAACCAAUAAUUGAUGGCCCCAGAGAUGCAUCUCUCAAUAACGACAUUAAACUUCACAAUUGGCCACCAGAUGGCUCUUGAGAAACUUCCCUUAUGUCCAUAUCUGCUCCUGGUGUGGCUGAGGGAUCGGCCUCCAUUGUAACAAGCACAGACACCCAGGGUAGUGGAAGAGGGAAGGCCCUGGCGACAGCCAGCGAGUAGAACCAACAGAAGGCCUCAGGAAACCCUGGGGUGGCCACCCACGAAAGCAACAGCCAGCAGCUGGAAGGAAUGCUUAGAAAUGUGUCUGCAUAACCAUAUUUUAAAACAUACCAGACUAACCCAAACUAGGAAACAAAGGAAAUAUAGUCAUAUCUUCAAAUGCAGCCUAUCCAGCACACUAACCCUAAGUGUGACCCAGGAAAAUUUGAGGAAUUGAAGUACAAAAGAGGCUGUAUUUCUUCUAUCAUCCUAUUUAUCAUGGACAUCACAUACAAAAGUAAAUAAAAUAUUCAAAAAAUAUUAGAAAAACAGGCAAAUUCUUAUUUACUUUCAAUAACUCAAAGAAUCUUUAUUCAAAAGAAAAAAAUCCAUAGCAGUGGGUUUCUCCAGAAAAAUUUCUGAUUGAAAUAUUUACUCAUUAGCAUUUGCACUGAUACAUUUUUCCAAUUAUUAUAAGAACCUUG